rnacentral:rRNA from 1 species
GACGAACGCUGGCGGCGUGCCUAAUACAUGCAAGUCGAACAGUGGCGAACGGGCGAGCAAGGCAUUGGUACCUGGCUUACGGAGGGGGAUAAUUACGGUAAACGGUAGCUAAUACCGCGUACCAUAGGUUGAGCCCAAGUGGGGGUAGGUAGUUGGAGAGGUAAAGGCUCACAAGGCCGACGAUCUCUAGCUGGUCUGAGAGGAUGACCAGCCAGACUGGGACUGAGACACGGCCCAGACUCCUACGGGAGGCAGCAGUGGGGAAAGUUGCGCAAUGGGGGCAACCGGACGCAGCCAUGCCGCGUGAAUGAAGAAGGCCUUCGAGGUGUAAAGGUCUUUCGGUAGCUAGGCGUUAACUACAGAAGAAGCACCGGCUAACUCCGUGCCAGCCGCCGCGGUAAUAC